rnacentral:rRNA from 1 species
CCUACGUGGUGCUGCAGUGGGGAAUAUUGGACAAUGGGCGAAAGCCUGAUCCAGCCAUGCCGCGUGUGUGAAGAAGGCCUUCGGGUUGUAAAGCACUUUCAGUGGGGAAGAAAGCCUUGGGGCUAAUACCCUCGAGGAAGGACAUCACCCACAGAAGAAGCACCGGCUAACUCCGUGCCAGCAGCCGCGGUAAUACGGAGGGUGCGAGCGUUAAUCGGAAUUACUGGGCGUAAAGCGCGCGUAGGCGGUCUGAUAAGCCGGUUGUGAAAGCCCCGGGCUCAACCUGGGAACGGCAUCCGGAACUGUCAGGCUAGAGUGCAGGAGAGGAAGGUAGAAUUCCCGGUGUAGCGGUGAAAUGCGUAGAGAUCGGGAGGAAUACCAGUGGCGAAGGCGGCCUUCUGGACUGACACUGACGCUGAGGUGCGAAAGCGUGGGUAGCAAACAGGAUUAGAUACCCGAGUAGUC